rnacentral:rRNA from 1 species
UACGUAGGGGGCAAGCGUUGUCCGGAAUCAUUGGGCGUAAAGCGCGUGUAGGCGGUCCGGUAAGUCCGCUGUGAAAGUCGGGGGCUCAACCCUCGAAUGCCGGUGGAUACUGUCGGGCUUGAGUGCGGGAGAGGCGAGUGGAAUUCCUGGUGUAGCGGUGAAAUGCGCAGAUAUCAGGAGGAACACCGAUUGCGAAGGCAGCUCGCUGGAACGUUACUGACGCUGAGACGCGAAAGCGUGGGGAGCAAACAGG